rnacentral:rRNA from 1 species
UGAGGAACAUGACCUUCGCGGGGGAUAGCCGGCCCAACGGCCGGGUAAUACCGCGUACGACCACAUGGGGACAUCCCUGAGUGGUGAAAGCAGCAAUGCGCCGAUGGAGUGCCUCGCGGCCUAUCAGCUAGUUGGUGAGGUAACGGCUCACCAAGGCGACGACGGGUAGCCGGCCUGAGUGGGUGACCGACCACACUGGGACUGAGACACGGCCCAGACUCCUACGGGAGGNAG